rnacentral:rRNA from 1 species
GACGAACGCUGGCGGCGUGCCUAAUACAUGCAAGUAGAACGCUGAAGAGAGGAGCUUGCUCUUCUUUGAUGAGUUGCGAACGGGUGAGUAACGCGUAGGUAACCUGCCUUGUAGCGGGGGAUAACUAUUGGAAACGAUAGCUAAUACCGCAUAACAAUGGAUGACACAUGUCAUUUAUUUGAAAGGGGCAAUUGCUCCACUACAAGAUGGACCUGCGUUGUAUUAGCUAGUAGGUGAGGUAAUGGCUCACCUAGGCGACGAUACAUAGCCGACCUGAGAGGGUGAUCGGCCACACUGGGACUGAGACACGGCCCAGACUCCUACGGGAGGCAGCAGUAGGGAAUCUUCGGCAAUGGGGGCAACCCUGACCGAGCAACGCCGCGUGAGUGAAGAAGGUUUUCGGAUCGUAAAGCUCUGUUGUAAGUCAAGAACGGGUGUGAGAGUGGAAAGUUCACACUGUGACGGUAGCUUACCAGAAAGGGACGGCUAACUACGUG